GAAUACUGUAUUAUCAAAAAAGAAAUGUACAGUAUAUCAGCAUUAAACAGCUUGCAGAGCCUAUUUUACACAAGAAAACCAAAUGUAAAACAUAUCACAAAUGUUGUCAUUUUAGUGGCAGACAGAAAGAGAGAGACACAUUCAGUAUAAUAUAUAACAUAAAUCCUGCAGUGGUGGAAGUAUUGAGAUCUUUGGCUGAAAUUAAAGUAACAAUACCACAACAUAAACCACACACAAAGGUCCUGCAUUUAUAAUUUUACCUAAAUAGAAGUGCACUUAAUAUUUAAAAUAUUAGAGUGUUAUUAUAUUACUGGACUAUAAUUACUGAUUACGAAGAAAGCAACAUUUUAAUAUUAUUGCUGUGAUUGCAUCUGUCUGACCUUGUCAAAACAGCUGUAACUCAGCUGCCUCCUCUGUGCUUUUUUCUGUGUACCUUGUGUGUCACUUUUUUCAUUGUUGAUUGUACAUUCUUGAUCACUUUGAUCCAUGCAUAUUGGGAUUUUGUGUCAAAUUAUGAAGAUGUGCAUAGAUUUAUUAUGACACAGCAGGUGACUAACAGGUAAGUUGUAGAUAUUUAAAUAUUUGAAAAUAAAAUAUAUUUGAAAUAA